ensembl:rRNA 5S_rRNA 5S ribosomal RNA
GAUUACGGCCAUACCACACUGACAAUGCCCGAUCUCGUCUGAUUUCAGAAGCUAAGCAGAGUUGGGCUGGGUCAGUACUUGGAUGGGUGACUGCCUGGGAAUACCCGGUGCUGUAAUCA